rfam:Desulfitibacter sp. BRH_c19 BRHa_1004663, whole genome shotgun sequence.
CUUAGUGAUUCAAAACUCGUAGAUGUACAGGCAGGCCUAGAAACUGCAAUGAGCGGUAUAAUUGCCCAGUUAGCUGGAAUUAAUGUUAUUUCUGGAGCUG